CCUUAUCUAACUGUUCCCACUAAACUUCCUCCCUAAGAGUUCCUGUACUUAAGGACUCUUUCAAUCCCAGAAAAGGAGAACGAACGUACAUUCUGCACUGUACACUAUAAUCAUCAAAUACUACAAACCAAAGUGAAGAAAAACACAGAGUUCAAAAAAAUCAGGAAAAGAGAGAAAAGAAAAGAUUUUAGAGUUUUUGCUUGAUGUUGCUGGGGACAAUUGUUUCUUGCUUUAUUUAUUAUCCAGUUCAGCAAUCACAGAUCCACGUUUGAGUGCGCCUCUCGAUAGUUGAUUCAUGUAGUACUUGGAGCCCAUUCGAGGUAGCGGUUGAUCUAUGCAUCUGGAGCUUACUUCUACCUUUCUUAUCUAGACUAUGUUUUAUUUGUAUUCAGAGACAGUGUUUUGUUCCUAUUUUUGGAUAUCUUGUAUAUUUUUGACCUCGAGUUAUACUAGUUAGUUCUUACACUGUGACAUCCAGUUUUGAGAUUAUUCUAGGGUGUCCUUGGUUUUA